UACGUAGGGUGCAAGCGUUAAUCGGAAUUACUGGGCGUAAAGGGUGCGUAGGCGGGUCUUUUAAGUCAGGGGUGAAAUCCUGGAGCUCAACUCCAGAACUGCCUUUGAUACUGAGGAUCUUGAGUUCGGGAGAGGUGAGUGGAACUGCGAGUGUAGAGGUGAAAUUCGUAGAUAUUCGCAAGAACACCAGUGGCGAAGGCGGCUCACUGGCCCGAUACUGACGCUGAGGCACGAAAGCGUGGGGAGCAAACAGG
rnacentral:rRNA from 1 species